CACUGUCUCCCAAGUUGACUUGGAACUCCAGAGGAUAACCCUGUCUCCAUUUUCCAGUGCCACAAUUGAAGAUGUGCUGUCACACCUGGCUUCCAUGUCAUCUGACACCAGAAAGAAGAAACACUGACCCUUUGGCAUUUUAACUUGAAGAGGGAUCUCAGCUUUGGAUUCCUUAUCCAUUCCUGGAAAAAGGAAAAUAAAAGAGUGGAAAUCAGAUAUCCAGGACAAGUAGCAGGACAGAGAUGGGGUUCAUCACCCCCCAUCGACACACUGCAAGCAAAAGGACAUGGGCUUGGGUUUUAGGAGAUUGUGCCUUGCUUCAUUCAGUGUCACUUUUGAAGAAGAGCAGCAGCACACACGAUGUUGAUUAUCCUAAGGAUGAUGCCAACAGUGGGGGGUUCAUGAGUUCCGUGUCAUUCCUCCAUCCACUUCACCAUGGAGCUCACGGUGACAGCUGCCCGGAAUUCAUUAUCAAGAUGAAAAGAUCUCGAGAGUGAUAGCACGGGAAGAGCAUCCUCUUCCGAGAGAGAGGUCCACAGCUGGCCCCUCCCUCACAGCUCAGAAAUAACCGAAUCCACUUCUAGCCUGGAGAGCCUUGAAGAAAUGCAUUCAGUGUGAGCCACUCGGUGUGUACUUCUUGGGAACAUCCAGCAAAGCACAGGUGGAGGCUUCUGGAGUUCUUAUCAUUUCCCGACAGAAGGAAGGAGACAGGGGCUGGAGAGAUGGCUCAGUGGUUGAGAGC